GACGAACGCUGGCGGCGUGCUUAACACAUGCAAGUCGAACGAGUGGCGAACGGGUGAGUAAUACGUGGGUAACCUGCCCGAUAGAGGGGGAUAACUACUGGAAACGGUGGCUAAUACCGCAUACUAUCGGAUGAACCCAUAUGGGAUUAGCUAGGAGGUGGGGUAAAGGUCACCUAGGCUCCAUCUCUAGCUGGUCUGAGAGGAUGAUAAGCCCCACUGGGCCUGGGACACGGCCCAGACUCCUACGGGCGGCAGCAGUGGGGAAUAUUGCACAAUGGGCGAAAGCCUGAUGCAGCGACGCCGCGUGGGGGAUGAAGGCUUUCGUGUUGUAAACCUCUUUCGCUAUCGAACGGGUAGGUGGAGAAGAAGCGCCGGCUAACUACGUGCCAGCAGCCGCGGUAAUAC
rnacentral:rRNA from 1 species